AUGGUGGAAGAAGCAGCAUCAAUGUUGGCAAGCAGCAGGGUUUUUGUACGGCCGCUAAACCUGUUUGUAUCACUGUGGUGGACUUUUGGUGGAGGAACCAAACUGUCUGUGGGCCGUGUCACUCAGCCCAGUGUGACGGUGUUGCCUCCCUCCAGUGUGGAGCUGCAGCAGGAGAAGGUCACACUCAUGUGUGUGGCCGACAAGGGCUUCCCCUCGGACUGGACACUGAGCUGGAAGGUUGAUGGGAGCAGCUGGAGCUCGGGGGAGAGCCGCAGCACCGCCGUUCUGCACGCGGACGGCCUCUACAGCUGGAGCAGCACGCUGAGCCUCCACCCGGAGCAGUGGAGGAACAAGGUGGUGACCUGUGAGGCCUCCAAAGACAACCAACCUACUGUGGUGGGCAGAGUGAACACAGAGCAGUGCUCAGAGCUGUGAGCUCACACACACUUUACUCAGCUCACCUUCUACUGCUUCACUGUGUGUUACAUGUGGCCUUUACUGCUCCAAUCUCCCACUUUCAUCAUUUCAUUUGUGUUAUUAACAUGUGAGCUCACACACUCCUCAGUUUAACUCAAUUCUUCUUCUU